UACAGAGGUCUCAAGCGUUGUUCGGAUUCAUUGGGCGUAAAGGGUGCGUAGGCGGCGCGGUAAGUCGGGUGUGAAAUCUCGGAGCUUAACUCCGAAACUGCAUUCGAUACUGCCGUGCUUGAGGACUGGAGAGGAGACUGGAAUUGCCGGUGUAGUGGUGAAAUGCGUAGAGAUCGGCAGGAACACCCAGGGGGAAACCAGUCGACUGGGCAUCUACUGACGCUGAGGUGCGAGAGCGUGGGGAGCGAACCGG
rnacentral:rRNA from 1 species